UACGUAGGGGGCAAGCGUUGUUCGGAUUUACUGGGCGUAAAGGGUGUGUAGGCGGUUAUGCAAGUCGAAUGUGAAAUACCUUGGCUCAACCAAGGAAGUGCAUUCGAAACUAUAUAGCUAGAGUUCGGGAGAGGAGAGCGGAAUUCUCGGUGUAGCGGUGAAAUGCGUGGAGAUCGAGAAGAACACCAGCGGUGAAAACGGCUCUCUAGACCGGUACUGACGCUUAGGCACGAAAGCGUGGGGAGCGAACGGG
rnacentral:rRNA from 1 species